rnacentral:rRNA from 1 species
UACGUAGGGGGCGAGCGUUGUCCGGAAUCAUUGGGCGUAAAGCGCGUGUAGGCGGCUUGGUAAGUCUGGUGUGAAACCUUGGGGCUCAACCCUAAGCGUGCACUGGAUACUGCCUGGCUUGAGUCCGGGAGGGGAGAGCGGAAUUCCUAGUGUAGCGGUGAAAUGCGCAGAUAUUAGGAAGAACACCGGUGGCGAAGGCGGCUCUCUGGAACGGUACUGACGCUGAGACGCGAAAGCGUGGGGAGCGAACAGG